rnacentral:rRNA from 1 species
UUCCGGUUGAUCCCGCCGGAGGCGACCGCUUUGGGAGUUCGAUUAAGCCAUGCGAGUCGUGAGUCUUAGGGACUCGGCAUACUGCUCAGUAACACGUGGAUAACCUGCCCUAUCGUCUGGAAUAACCUCGGGAAACUGAGAAUAAGGCCGGAUAGUUCACAAUGCCUGGAACGGUUUGUGAAUCAAGGUAGGAUGGGUCUGCGGCGUAUCAGGUUGUAGGGGGUGUAAAGGACCCCCUAGCCUUCGACGCGCACGGGUGUUGGGAGACAUAGCCCGGAGAUGGAUUCUGAGACACGAAUCCAGACCCUACGGGGUGCAGCAGGCGCGAAAACUUCACACUGCAGGAAACUGUGAUGAGGGAACUCCUAGUGCAUGCACUAUGUGUAUGUAGAUCCUACUCUUAACAAGUAGAGGGAAAGGGCUGGGAAAGACCGGUGCCAGCCGCCGCGGUAAUACCGGCAGCUCAAGUGGUCGUCGCUUUUAUUGGGCCUAAAACGUCCGUAGCCUGUUUGGUGAAUCUGUGGGUAAAUCAAUCCGCUCAACGGAUUGAAUUCUGCAGAGACUGCCAGACUAGGGACCGGGAGAGGUGUGGGGUACUCGAGGGGUAGGGGUAAAAUCCUGUCAUCCUUCGAGGACCACCAGUUGCGAAGGCGCCACACUGGAACGGAUCCGACGGUCAGGGACGAAGCCUAGGGGCACGAACCGGAUUAGAUACCCGGGUAGUCCUGGGUGUAAACGCUGUGAACUUGGUGUCGGGGGUCCGCAAGGGGUCCCCGGUGCCGGAGUGAAGAUGUUAAGUUCACUGCCUGGGGAGUACGGUCGCAAGGCUGAAACUUAAAGGAAUUGGCGGGGCAGCAC